GCGAGUAUAGUUUAAUGGUAGAAUAACAGUUUUCCAAACUGUGGGUGGGAGUUCGAUUCUCCCUACUCGCA
rnacentral:tRNA from 1 species